UGGGAUGUGGCUUAGGGGUAGAGCACUUGCCUCACAUGGUUGAGGCACUGAGUUCGAUCCUCAGCACCUCAU
rnacentral:tRNA from 1 species